CAUAUUACAUUAAAGAACUAAUUCCCAUACGAUCACUGAAGUUAAGCAAUGUUGAGCCUGGUCAAUACCUAGAUGGGUGACUGCUUAGGGAAUACCAGGUGCUGUAA